rnacentral:rRNA from 1 species
UACGUAGGGGGCGAGCGUUGUCCGGAGUUACUGGGCGUAAAGCGCACGCAGGCGGUCUGUGAAGUUUGGAGUGACAGUUGGUGGCUCAACCACCAAAGUGCUUUGAAAACUGAUAGACUUGAGGGCUUCAGAGGGACACGGAAUUCCGGGUGGAGUGGUGAAAUGCGUAGAGAUCCGGAGGAACACCAAAGGCGAAGGCAGUGUCCUGGGGAGUACCUGACGCUCAGGCGCGAAAGCUAGGGGAGCGAACAGG